rnacentral:rRNA from 1 species
GACGAACGCUGGCGGCGUGCCUAAUACAUGCAAGUCGAACGCAGUGGGGACGGGUGAGUAACACGUGGGUAACCUCCCAUCAGAGGGGAUAACACUUGGAACCCGGUGCUAAUCCGAUACUGAUGGAUGGACCCGCGGUGCAUUAGCUAGUUGGUGAGGUAACGGAGCACCAAGGCCACGAUGCAGAGCCGACCUGAGAGGGUGAGCGGCCACACUGGGACUGAGACACGGCCCAGACUCCUACGGGAGGCAGCAGUAGGGAAUCUUCAGCAAUGGACGAAAGCCUGACCGAGCAAUGCCGCGUGAGUGAAGAAGGUUUGCGGAUCGUAAAACUCUGUUGGUAGAGAGGCGGUAUCUAACCAGAAAGCCACGGCUAACUACGUGCCAGCCGCCGCGGUAAUUC